UCCCCCCAAGCCCCCAUAGCCGCCCGGACGCCCCCAAAUCCGCCUGCCCCCACAGCGGGGCGACUCCGUCGUGCUGGAAAACGUCUCCCCGGACGGGAAGGAGCUGCCGGGGAGCAUGGGGCGGCUGAUGAACCCCGGUGAGCCCCACGCGGGGGUUCCCCCCCCCCGGACGCCUGGGCCCUCGGGGCUGGGGGGUGGGGGCAGCCCGGACACCUGGGUCCCCGGGGCAGGGGGAAGCAGGGGGGUGACACAGCGGCACCCUGGGGUGGCAGGGGGAACCCCGACGUGUGGGGUGGGACGUCCGGGAUGCCUGGGCCCGCUGCCGGCAGGGUUGGGGGGUGAAGCAGGGCCCCCCCGGACGCCUGGGCCCGCUGUCCUGCCCCCCCCCCCCGGCAGGUCACGCCAUCGAGGCGGGCUGGUUCCUGCUGCGCUUCGCCCAGCGCCGGGGCGACGAGGCGCUGGCGGCCCGCGCCAUCGCCGCCUUCAUCGAGGGGCCCCUGCGGCGCGGCUGGGACCCCCAGCACGGGGGGCUCUUCGCCUUCCUCGACGCCGACGGGCACUGCCCCACGCAGCUCGAGUGGAGCAUGAAGCUGUGGUGGCCCCACGCCGAGGCCAUGGUGGCCCUCCUGGCCGCUUACGCCCACGACCGGCGGCCCGAGCGCCUCGAGGCCUUCCAGCGCGUCGCCGAUUACACCUUCAGCAAGUUCCGCGACCCCGAGCAUGGCGAGUGGUUCGGGUACCUCUCGCGGGAGGGGAACGUGGCGCUCACCAUCAAGGGGGGCCCUUUCAAAGGUAGGUGACGAGAGGUGGGGGCUCCCCCGGAUGCCUGGGUCCCCCCCCGGCGUGGUAUCCCCGGGGC
rnacentral:lncRNA from 1 species